CCUCACAAUAAACCAGACCAGAAGGAUGUCCCAUCCGAAUGCCCACACCUCUCUGUCUCGGCUCUUUGGGUCGUCUCCACCUACUGUCCUCCCAUCUACACUUGACUACAGACUGGUUUAGUCUGCUGGCCCGGGUGUCAGGGCCAAUCAAUAAAGUCCUCAGACCAAUUUUGUGCUCAGGCCUUUCUCCGGGCAGUGGAUCGCAACCACAGUUCCGUGACCAGCUAAUUUCUCAUUAACCCAUUUUUUACAUUCUAGAUUCUCAUGUCUGGAAGGACCUCAUCCUGGCAAUAGAAUUACUGGCGUUUGUUAGGAGCUGGGUACUAAGCUGUCGCCACAAUUAGUUAAUCCUCCCAACGCCUGGGAGAAGGGUGUUACCAUUAACCCCAUUUUGCUCGUUAGUAAACUGAGGCAUGGGACAGUGAAGGCCCACCAAGGUCAUACAGCUGCUAUUUGCGAAGCUGCUGGGAUUCCAGUUAGGCUUGUCAGACUCUAGUGACCAACUUAUCCACUGUCCUCUUUAAAGAUGUUACAAAACCCUGUAGAAUCUUAGGAAAACUAAUUUAAAGACAUAAUUUCACAUCCAAUUUAAAGGAGGUUGGGGCAGGAAUACUCUAUGAAACUCAAUCCAUUAAUCCCGGGGAUGGACCCCAGUUUAAUCCAAUUCACUCAUUUCCCUAAGGCAGAAACAAGGCUAGAGAGGGGAGGUGAGCAAGCCAGAGACAGAGCCAGGGAGGAUCACACCCCAGGGCCCAGCCUCCUCCUGGGUCUCCCUUUGGCUGUGUGGGAGGAAGGAGGUGGUGAGGCGUCCAGCCUGGCUGGGGUCAGGGCUGGGUGUUGGGGAUCAGGUCAGGAGUUUCCAGCCCGAAGGGAAGUGUCACUACUUUGAGAGGAAAACAAGACGCAAACCAUUUGAACCACCAUGUCCCUGACGCCUGACAUCCCUCCCUCCAACUGGCCCAGACGCCCCAGCCCUUGGGGUCGCAGUGCAGAGAAAGACAACAGCACCCGCCAGCCAGCCCCAUGUCCUCCAGCCACGACUCCCGGCUCCCCAGGCUUCCAGCUGGGACUGAUGGUAAUCACUCCCACACCCCAACCCCAGCCUAGGGAAGGGAAGAGAAGGAAGGUCUUCCCCCACCCCAAGCCGUCUCUGGCCUGCGGUCAGAGGGAGGGGCUCUAGCUGUGGAAAGUUGGCAGAGGCGGCCGGCAGCAGCCGGGAGAGUGGAAAAAAUGAUAUCAAACCCGGAAAAAUGCAGGCCGGAUGGAGGGCCGGAGUGGGCCCUGGGAGAAAUGAAAGCUCCUUGAGGGAAGGGCCCUCAGUGCUGCCCUGACCCCAGCACCUACAACCAGUGCCUGGCUCAUAAUAGGUGCUCAGUAAAUAUUUGUUGAAUUGAUGAAUUCAUUAUCUAUUAAUGGAUAUCCAUUAAUUCGUUAUCCAUUACCUGUAAAGUGGCCAUUCCAUUCCUGUCCUCUCUGAUUCUAGGUGUCUGUGAAUAGGGAGCGGCUGGGAAAUCAUGUGAGAAAACCACACUCUCCCUUCCAGGGACACAGCCUAUUAUAGUUUAGAAAUUACUUUCUCAUCCAUAAAAACAAAACCAAAACAAUAGCUAACUUUGUUUUAACUCUUUCUCUGUUAGUAUUGGGCCCAAUGCUGCAUGCUGGGUACAGAUUUUCUCACAUUCUCAUCACCACAACCCUUUACUUAAUAGGUCCCGUUUAAUAGAUGAGGACACGGAGGCUAAGAGAACCCAAAAAUCUCUCCAAGGCUGUGCAGCAAGAAAGGGCCAGAUCAGUGGUCGAAAGGAAGGCAGGAACUGCCGUCUUAGUUGCACAAUCAGGGAAACAGACUCAGAAAGAGGAGAUGAGUUGUCCAAGCCCAAAGUCAUGUAAUAAACAGCAAACAGUUACAUCACUCUUACUAUAUACCAGGUGCUGUGCUAAGCGUUCUUCAUACAUUAAUUCAUUAAAUCCUGAAAACUGAUCAUAUUAUCACCACACCAGUUUUGAGAUGGAGAAAAUUGUAGCACAGAGAAGUUCAGUAACCUGCUAAGACUGCACAGUUAGCAAGUAGCAGAACCAGAAUUCACACCAGAGAGGUCUAGCUCAUAGCAUUAAGGGUGGUCUGUGUUGCACCAUUUGUUGGCACAGCAAGCCUGGAACAGGCUGGUAU